UUUUGAUCAUGUAUGGAUUCUUUUUUUAUGUUAGAAGACUACAAUUAUUUAUUUCAGGAGGUCAUUCACAUGACAGUAACAGGACAAGUAAAAUGGUUUAACAACGAAAAAGGCUUCGGUUUCAUCGAAGUUGAAGGCGGAAACGAUGUAUUCGUACACUUCUCUGCAAUCACUGGCGACGGCUUCAAGUCUUUAGAAGAAGGCCAAAAAGUUAGCUUCGAAAUCGAAGAAGGUAACCGUGGACCACAAGCUAAAAACGUUGCAAAAAUCUAAUUGUAUAGAUAGCAGCGAAAAAGGACAGCAUAUGCUGUCCUUUUUUUU
rnacentral:other from 1 species